UGCUGCUGCUGCAGCGGCCCGAGUACAGCGACGCUUUACGUCCGGUCCACCACCACCCCCAUACACACCCCCUCCCUCCCUCCACCGCCGCCACCCCCCUCCCCGCCCGCUCCGCUCUCCGUCUCUCGAUUGGAGCCGAGACAAAAGCAACGGGAAGCGGUGGGCCGGGACGCUACCGGCGGACCCUGGGCGCGACCGGACCGGCCCCGGGGCAUUCCCCCGCCUUGCGGGGGCCCCGAAUCUGCCGCCCCCGCCGCGCGCCCCGCUGCCAGACUUCCGAAAAUUUACCAAAAACUCACCGCAUGAAUUUUCUUGUCCCGCGGAUCCAAGAUGGCGACGUAUCCACCGCGGAGGCUGCUGGGAGCAAGACCUUUACCCUCUGACCGCCGCCGUGACCCCCGUCGCUCCGGCUUCCCUCCAGGCGGCAGCGGAAGGUGGGAGCGACGACUGCAAAACGGCAGCGAUGGGCUCCCGCAACCUCCGGAGCUUGUGCGCGUACUUCAGGGACCGGCACCACGUCACCGUCACCUCCUGAGUAGUGAGUUCCCCUCUGAUGAAACCACUGGUGUGUUUACUCACCAUCCCCACCAUUUUUUUUUCCCCAACCUGAUGGAAGGAAGUACAUAAUGGAGAGCAAGUUUUUAAAGCACGGUCGUGUCGUGUGAACUUGCUCUAGCCAAAUUAGGUUUAUAGCACUUUUUUUGGCUCUCAUUACCUCCAGUCCCCACAUAAACAAGAGUGACCAGCUGGGUCAUCCGCAAGACCGUUUGAAAUUAUUGUGGCUUGGGUGGAAACUUAAAGGAGUGAAGUAUCUGCUUUCCAGAAAAAUCGUUGUCAUUCAAAGUGAAAUUAAACUUGUUUUCUUUGCAAUAAUUCGCCUUUAUUUCCUUGUAUAUCUGUAAACUCUUCACUUUUUUGUAAUUACUAGACAAUUCGGACUUAAAAAGAGCCUCAGCAUGUGUAUUUUGGAAUUGUGUAGCUUCAUAAUGUGAAAAUUAUUCUUUUCUAUUUGAGUAAAGUACAGUUAAUUUGAAGUAAAUAAAAUUUCUAUUUCCAUUGGUUGUUUCUUUUAAAAAGUCACCUUUUACUUACAAAAGAAUCACUGUAAUCCAGUUUACAUUUAUCAUUGAAGGUCAAAAGCAAGAAAUAGGAAGAAACACAAGCAUACUAUAAAAUAAAAGAAAUAGAGACACAGACACACAAGGGAGAGUGCCAUAUGAAAAUGGAGGCAGAAUGGAGUGAUGCAUCUACAAGCCAAGGAACACCAAAAAUUGCCAGCAACUACUAGAAGCUAGAAGAGGCAAGAAAGGACUUUCUAGAGCCUUUGGAAAGCAUGAUUCUGCCACAUCUUGAUUUUGGACUUCCAGCCUCUAGAACUGUGAGAGAGUAAGUUUCCAUUGUUUUAAACCACCCAAUUUGUAUUAAUUUGUUAUAGAAGCCCUGGGAAACAAAUAAACUACUUUAGAUCAGUUAGGAAGGCUUCUUGAACUAUAUGACAUUUAAACAGAGACAUAAAUGAUGAGACUGUCCCAGCCAAGUUAAAAAUAUCACUGGGAAUCAAACUCACUGGUGUUAUUCCAGCUCAGUGGUAAAUGUUCUACUGGUAUUUUAAAUAAUUCUAAAAUAAAGUCAUUAUUUUUCUUUGCACUCCAAAGUCCUUCUUUGCAAAAACUAUAUGAAGUAGGCAUUAAUAUUCAGACUUACUAUAUAGAGGCUAAGGAACUUAGACCUAGUAAGUAGCAGAGCCUAGAUUCAAGCUCAGGUAACCUAGCUUCAGGAGCCUGUAAUUUAAACCAUCAGGUUAUACUGACUCUAUUCUCAACCUUAUGCAGUGUGCUUUCAUUCUUCCCACAAGCUUCCAAGGUGUCCUUUUUUGUGAUAUCCCAUGGAAUCCAGUCUCAUAUGUGAAAUUUAGCUUUUCUUUUUUGUCUCCUACUUUUCCUCUUUUCCUUUAUAAUGAUAGUAGUACAGAUUGCUAAAUGUAUUGAGCACUAAGUGUGCCAGCUCUUUUAAUUCAAACAACAACCAUAUGAGGUAGAUACUAUUAUCAUCCUCAUAUUCCAGAGGAUAUUUCUAUGGCUUAGAGAGGUUAAGUGACAUAUGUGGGAUCAUAAUACUAAUAAAUGGCAGACCCUGGGUUGGUUGGAUCUGUCUGACUUCAAAGCUUCUACUUUUAAAAAAAUUCGAUGUAAAACCAAGGUAUAACUUACAUGAUUUAAGAUGCACAACUCCUAAAUAUUUAGUAUGAUGAACUCUGAUAUGUUCUAUACCUGUGUAAUUAUCAUCACCCAGAACAUUCCCUGAUGGAAAGACUCCUUAAUCACCCCCCUUAACAGUAGAUAAUCCUCCAAAGAUAAACAACAUUCUGUUAUAUAUCACCAUGAAUUAACUUUAUUUUUGAACUUUCUAGAAGUAGAAUCAUAUAGUAUAUUUUCUUCAGUGUCUCAUUUCUUUCCAGAGUCCUUAUUUUUAAUGACCAUGUUAUACUUUGUCCAACAAAACUGCCAAGUCCUCUGUCCUAUUUUCCUAGGCUCUUGCUAAGUAACCUAUGUUGAUGAUGUAAUAUGCUAAUUCUUGCUAAAAUAUUAGUGGGUGAAAAUUGUUUAAGUUACUUUUUUGGGGGGAUAACUUAUUAGUAUCAUAACUGACCUUAAGCUGAGAAGAAUGACUAUUAUGAAAAUUCUAAGUAGAGUCUGAGAGACUUUUAGGCAAAAGGGGCCUAGCUAGUUCCAGUUUUAUAUGGUUUGUUAACUUUAGGAAAGAUGCUCAUAAAUGAAUGCAUAGAAGGAAAGCAAAAGCUGAAAAAAAGGGGGAAACUGAAAGUAUGUAAAUACUUCUGGGCAAAGAAAGGCUGUAUGAGUUUUAUGGUAUUGGGAGAGGGGAGUGUCCUGGUCCAUUUCUCCUGCUGUAACUAAAUACCUGAGACUUAGUAAUUUAUAAACAAUAGACAUUUAUUUCUCUUAGUUCUGGAGGCUCAGAAGUCACAGAUCAAGGCACCAGCAAGUCUGAUGACUGGUAAAGCCCCAUUUUCCAUAGAUGGUGCCAUCUAGGUGUCCUUACAUGGUAGAAGGGCAAAAAGGGAACAAAUGUUUUUUCCUCACAUGGCAAAAGAGCAGAAAGGCAAGAGAGAGCUCCCUUCAACCUUUGAGCCCUUUUAUAAGGGUGCUAAUCCCAUUUAUGAGGUCAGAGCCCUCAUGACUUAAUCAUCUCUCUCUUAGUACUCUUGCAUUGGGGAUUGAGUUUCAACAUGAAUUUUGGAGGGGACACAAAUAUUCAAAUCAUAGCACUGGUACACUAAUUGUGGACCUUUAAAAUUUAUUUCUAAAAUGUAAAUGUUGUAUCUAUAACUGAAAUUGAAAUACCACAGAAGAAAUCUUAGAUGUAUAAAAAGAAAUGUUAAUGUCAUAUAGAAAAAUGAACAUUGAAGUUGUCAAAAGUUUUGGGUUCUAGUCACUGCUCUGCAGCUUACCAGCUAAUUACCUCGCUUAAAUCACCUAAUCUUUCUGAGUCAACUUCAGUAUAUGCAUAAAAACAUUUACCCUGCCUGACAGGAUUGGUGUGAAGAUUAAAUAUGAAAUAAGCUAGUUUAUAUUAAUGUGCUUUAUAAAGUCUCAUAUAUGAAGCUUUAUAUAUAUACACAUAUCACUGUCAUAAAAUAGUUAAUACAAUAUUAGAUAUAUGAAAAAUUGAAUACUGUAACCACCUGAUGCAAUAGAAAGUCUUAAUGACAUUGUUUUUGAAGAACUUCUAAUUUAAUAACCCAGGCUUCCAGUCACUCAGUUCAAGUUUGUCAGAACUCUAAAUGAAUGGAUUUGGAAAAAUACAAGAGCAAUUUUCUUUCCCAUUUCCUUUUGCUUUUACAUUUCACCUCUUCUCAGUGAUAAAUUUUGUUGGAAAGCAAGACAUAAUUUUUUUACUUUUACCCUUUUCCUUAGAGUUUCUUGCAUGUCACACGUGAAUUUGCCUAGGGAUUCUCCUGUAACAAGAAUUAUUUAAUUGUCAGGUAAGAGUGUGAAGAAUUUAUUAGAAAAAUGUGAAAGACUUCAUACUGAUAACCAAUUAUUAUUAUUAUUAUUAUUUUGAGACCGAGUUUCGCUCUUGUUGCCCAGGCUGUAGUACAGUGGCGCAAUCUUGGCUUACUGCAACCUCCCCCUCCCGGGUUCAAGUGAUUCUCCUGCCUCAGCCUUCCUGAGUAGCUGGGAUUACAAGCAUGCGCCACCAUGCCCGGCUAAUUUUGUAUUUUUAGUAGAUAUGGGAUUUCUCCAUGUUGGUCAGGCUGGUCUCGAACUCCCGACCUCAGAUGAUCUGCCUGCCUCGGCCUCCCUAAGUGCUGGGAUUACAGGCGUGAGCCACCGUGCCCUGCUGAUAACCACUUACUAAUUUAUAGCCAAUUUAAAAAAAUUGGCGUGGGGUGGGGAGGCACGCUGGGUAGGAGGAUGGGUAGUAAUAAUAUGUUCCGCUUUACUUUGGACUGCCAUCUACUGGUAAAUUAAGUCAGACAAUGUUUGACAAACAAAACAAUUAUGUUCAGAGAUUAGAACAAGGAACUUGUUGAAGAAUGACAUCAGCAAAAUAGUGGAACAGAAGUUCCUAGUACUCAUCUCACAGAAACAUAAAUUUAAACAUCUAUCCACACUAAAAAAAUACCUUUACAAGAACUAAGAAAUUCAAGUGAGGGAUUAUAGCACCUGGAUGUAGCAUGGAAAUAAGAAAACAUGUAUUCAUGACGACAGGAAAGACAGUUUUACAUUACCUGUGUGCUAUGGUUUGAAUGUGUCCUCUCCAAACUUCAUGUGCUGAAACUUAAUGACCAAUAUGAUGGUAUUAAGAGAUGGGGCCUUUAAGAGGUCAUGAGCUCUCCUUCUCUCAUGAUUAAGGCCUUUAUAAAAGGGGCUUUGUGUAGUGUUCACCUCAUUGCCUUUCCACCUUUUGCCAUGUGAAGACCUAGUAUUACUCCCCUCCAGAAGAUGCAACAAUAAGAUGCCAUCUUGAAAGCAGAGAGCAUCCCUCACCAAACAACCAAACCUAUCAGGGCCUUGAUUUUGGACUUCUUAGCCUCCAGAAUGAUGAGAAAAUAAAUUUGCUAUUUAUAAAUUAUCCAGUCUCUCAGAUAUUUUGUUAUAGCAGCACAAAACAGACUAAAGACACCAUGUCACUGUUUUCACAAGCCUGGGCAACACAUCAUGCAGAUAAAUACCCUUCAUGUGGGAAAAGCAGUGUGAAGUGAGCUCUCACCUUCACUUCAGACCCUGGCAGCAGGCCUACCCCAGUAAGCCCAGACUCUAGGACCACCCCAGCACCAGGAGUCUCCAGGCCAACUGUCCCAGUCUCCAGACCAGCUCAUGUGGUCACAGGCUCCAGGCCCAACCGAGAGACAGGCUUGACCUUGCAGCCUUAGGUUCUAGGCCAGCCCCUUGGACACAAGCUCCAGGCCUCCAAAGGUAAACAACAUUCUGCUAUCUCUCACUAUGGAUUAACUUUGUUUAUUUUUGAACUUCCUAGAAGUGGAAUUAUAUAGUAUAUUCGCUUUGGUGUCUCAUUUCUUUCCAGAGUCCUUAUUUUUGAUGACCAUGUUAUACUUUGUCCAACAAACCUGCCAAGUCUUCUGUCCUAUUGCCCUAGGCUCUUGCUAAAUAACCUAUGUUGAUGAUGUAAUGUGUUAAUUCUUGUUAAAAUAUUAGUGGGUGAAAAUGCCCUACCACUGCACCAACCCACCCCCUGCAGACUCAGGCUCUAGUCCCAUCCUAGCACCAAGCCAGCUCCCAUGGUCCCAGGCUCCAGACUGCCCCCUGUGGCCCUAUGCUCCAGAAUAUCUAGGUUCCAGGCCCACCCCAGUAGAAUUUGAUACUAGUCCAGCCCUCAAAGACCCAAGCUCCAGACUGGACCCCAUCAACCCAAGACCAAAGCCUGCCCGCAUGGACUCAGCCUCCAGGCCCACUACCAUGGACCCAGGUGCCAGGGCACCCCACUGAACCCUGGUGCUAGGUCAGCUCCUGUAAACUCAGGACCAGGCCCAUCUCCAUGGACCCAGGCACCAGGCCUCCCCUAGCAACAGGUUUUCCCUCAUGGACUCGGGCUUUAGGCUGGCCCCUGUAGACACAGGUUUCAGCCUACCUAUGCAUGCCUACCCAUGCAGGCCCAAUCUCUAGGCCCAACCCAGUGGAGUCCAGCACUAGGCUGGCCUCUGUGAACCCAAGAUCCAAGCCUAACCACCUAGAUUCGGGUUCAACGCCUGCCCCACUGGACCCAUGAGCCAGACUCAGCCAAGUGGACCUAGCCACCAGACCAGCCUGCCUGAGGAUUCCAACAGCAAGCUUGCAAGCAGACCCCACUAAAUGGCUCACCAAGAAUCUCUGGAUGGUCUGACUGGUAAAGGACUUUCCCUGCCAAAGCCAGUCUGUAAAGAUGGGAAAAGCUGCCUGCUUCUUUUUAAAAAUUAUAUUUUAUUUUUUAGAGACAGAGUCUUACUAUGUUGCCAGGCUGGAGUAUAGUGGAUAUUCAUAGGCACAAUCAUAGCACACUGCUGCCCCAAACUCCUGGGCUCAGGUGAUCCUCCUGCCUUAGCCUCCUGAGUAGCUGGGACUUCUGUGCCUGGUUAAGAGGUUCCUACUUCUCCAAAUAGACAAACACCAACACAACACCACAAGGAUUACAAAUAAAACUGCCUGACAAAGAAUUGAAAAUAAUUGUCUUCAAGAAACUUAGUAAGCUCCCAGAGAACACAGCUAGACAACUAAACAAUUAUCAGGAAAACAAUACAUAAGGAAAUGAGUUCAACAAAGAGAAGGCAUUUAAAAAUUCUGGAGCUGAAGAACACAAUGCUUGAACUGAAAAAUUCCAUAGAUAGAUUUAACAACAGAUUUGAUCAGUCAGAAGAAAGAACCAGUGAGACUGAAAACAGGUCAUUUGAAAUUAGAGCAGAGGAAAAAGAAUGAUAAAGAGUGAAGAAAGCCUAUGGGACUUAGAGAACACCAUCAUGUAAAACAAUAUUUGUGUGUAAGUUUUCUGGAAGGAGUAGAAAAAGAAAAGGGGAGAAAGCUUAUUUUAAGAAAUAGUAGCAGAAAACUUCCCAAAUCUGGAGAGGGAAAUGAAUGUCCAGAUUCAUGAAGCUCGAAGAACCCCAAAUAUAUUAAAUAUAAAGAGAUCUACCCCAAGACACAUUAUAAUCAAAUUCUCAAAAGCCAAAGACAAAGAUUAUUUUGAAAGCAGCGAGGAAAGACACGUCACAUGCAAUGGAACCCAUAUGAGAUGGUCAGUGAAUUUCUCAGCAGAAACCUUGCAGAUCUUGAGAGAGUGGAAUGACAUAUUUAAAGUGCUGAAAGAAAAAAAAAAACCUGAAAACCAAGAAUGCUACCCCUGGUAAAUCUUUCCUUCAGAAAUGAAGGAGCGAUAAAGACUUUCUCAGACAAACAAAAGCUGUGGGAGUUCAUCACCACUAGACAUACCUUACAAAAACUGUAAAGGGAGUUCAAGUUGAAACAAAAUGACACUAACUUUCUAGAAGCUGAAGCUGUGAAAAAUUUUUAAAAAUGACAUAAUAUAAAAACAUAGAAGUAUAAAACUGUAAAGGUAAGAAUACAGUCAAAUUCAGAAUACUCUAAUACUAAUGAUGGUAAUGAUAGUACAUAAAUAACUCUAGUAAAAAGUUAAAAGUCGUGAGUGUUAAAAAUAAAUAUGGCAACAAUAAUUUGUUAGUGGAUACACAUUAUAUAAAACAUGCAAAUUGUGACACCAGUACAUAAAAUGUGAGAGGAGGAGAAGUUAAAAGUGUAGAGUUUUGUAUGUGGUUGAAGUUAAGUUGUUAUUAGAUCCAAAUAGACUGUUAUAAGAUGUUUUAUGUAAGCCUUAUGGUAACCACACACAAGAAAAGUCUGUAGUAAAUAAAAGAUAAAGAAGACGAAAUCAAAGCACACCACUACAAAAAUAAAUCAUUAGGCUGGGCACAGUGGCUCACGCCUGUAAUCCCAGCAUUUUGGGAGGCCGAGGCGGGCAGAUCAUGAGGUCAGGAUAUCGAAACCAUCCUGGCUAACAUGGUGAAACCCCGUCUCUACUAAAAAUACAAAAAAUUAGCUGGGCAUGGUGGCGGACGCCUGUAGUCCCAGCUACUCGGGAGGCUGAGGCAGGAGAAUGGCAUGAACCUGGGAGGCAGAGCUUGCAGUGAGCCGAGAUCGCACCACUGCACUCCAGCCUGGGCAACAGAGCGAGACUCCAUCUCAAAAAAAGAAUAAAAAUAAAAAUAAAAAUAAAUAAAUCCUUAAAUCACAAAAGAAGUCAGCAAGAGAGAAAGAAAGGAACAAAGGAACUACAAAACAGAUUUAAAUGAUUAACAAAAUGGCAAUAUUAAGUUCUUCCUAUCAAUAAUUAAUUGUAAGUGGAUUCAGUUCUUCAACAAUAGAGUGGCUGAAUGGAUAAAAGGAAAACAAGAUUCAAUUAUAUGCUACCUACCAGAUACUCACUUAAGCUUUAGGGACACACAUAGGCUGAAAGUGAAGGGAUAGAAAAAGAAGAUAUUCCAUGCAAAUGGUAACCAAGGGUGAACAGCAGUGGUUAUACUUAUAUUGGACAAAAUAUACUUUAAGUCAAAAACUUUCACAAGGACAAAGAAGCUAAUUAUAUCAUAGUAAAGAGAUCAGUCUAUCAAGAGGAUAUAACAAUUAUGAAUACUAUGCACUCAACAUUGGUGUACCUACAUAUUUAGCAAAUAUUAACUGAACAGAGAAAUAGAAAGCAAUAUAAUAAUAGUAGAGUACUUCAAUACCUCACUUUCAAAAAUGGAUAGAUAUAGAUCAUCCAGACAGAAUAUUGAUAAGGAAACAGUGGACUUGAAAUACAGUAUAAUAUAAACCAAAUGGAUCUAACAGAUACGUACAGGACAUUCCAUCCAACAGCAACAGAAUACACAUUCUUUUCAAGUGUACGUGAAACUUUCUCAAGGAUAGAUCAUAUGUUAGGCUGUAAAACAAGUCUUAACAAAUUUAAAAAGAUUGAAAUAAUUAUCAAUAUCUUUUUCAACGACAAUGUUAUGAAAUGCUGUAAAAUGUUAGGAAAACAACAGGAAGAAAAUUAGAAAAUACACAAAUUUGUGUAAAUUAGACCACAUACACUCGAAUAACCAAUAGGUCAAAGAAGUCUUCAAAAGAAAAAUAAAAGGCCAGGUGCCUGUAAUCCCAGCACUUUGGGAGGCUGAGGUGGGUGGAUCACCUGAGGUCAGGAGUUCGAGACCAGCCUGGCCAACAUGAUGAAAUUCCGUCUCUACGAAAAAUACAAAAAUUGGCCAAGCAUGGAGGCAGGCACCUGUAAUCCCAGCUACUCGGGAGGCUGAGGCAGGAGAAUCACUUGAACCCAGGAGGCAGAGGUUGCAGUGAGCCAAGAUCGCGCUACCACACUCCAGCCUGGACAACAAGAGUGAAACUCCAUCUCAAAAAAAAAAAAAAAAGAGAAAUGAAAAAUAUCUUGAGACAAAUGAAAACAAAACCACAAUAUAACAAAACUUACUGGAUGCAACAAAAGCAGUCCUAAGAGGGAAGUUUAUAACAAUAAAUGCCUACUUAAGAAAAAAGAAAGAUCUCAAAUAAACAACCUAUCUUUAUAUCUCAAGGAACUAGAAAAAGAAGAAUGAAUUAAGGCUGAAGUUAGCAGAAGGAAAGAAAAUACAAAUCCAAGCAGAAAUAAGUGAAACAGACUAGAAAUAUUACAAAAGAUCAAGGAAACUAAGAGUUGAGUUUUUUUAAAUAUAAGCAAAAUUGACAAACUUUAGCUAGACUAAUAAAAAAAGAGAGAAGACUCAAAAUAUUAAAUUAUAAAUGAAAGAACAAAAAUUGAAAAAAGCCAGGCACACUGUUGUGCAGCUGUAACCCCACCUACUCAGGAGGCUGGGGUGGGAGGAUCUCUUGAACCCAGGAGUUUUAGGCCAGCCUAAACAAUGUAGUGAGACCCUGUCUCAAAACAAACAAUUAUAAUUGAAAGAGGAGAUAUUAUAACUGAUAUCACUGAAAUAUGAGGAAUCAUAAGAGACAGCUAUGAAAAUUAUAUGCCAACAAUUGGAUAACUUAGAAGAAAUAGAUAAAUUUCUAGAAACAUAAAAUUUACCAAGGCCGAAUAAUGAAGAAAUAGAAAAUCUGAACAGACAAAUGAUAAGCAAGAAGAUUGAAUUGAUAAUCAAAAAAACCUCCCAAAAAGAAAAACCCAGGAUCUGAUGGCUUUAUUGGUUAAUUCUACCCAACAUUUAAACAAAAAUUAAUGCCAAUUGUUUUCAAACCCUUAAAAAUUCAAGAGCAGGGAGCACUUACAUCAUGAGAACAGCAUUACCUUGACACCAAAGCUAGAUAGUUGGACACUAUAAGAAAAGAAAUUAUAAGCCAAUAUCCAUGAUGAACAUAGAUGCAAAAAUCCUUAACAAAAUACCAGCAAACUGAAUUCAAUUACACAUUAAAAGGAUCAUACGCCACAAUCAAGUGGAUUUAUCUCUGGGCUGCAAAGGUAGUUCAACACAUGCAAAUCAAUAAAUGUGAUACACCACAAUAACCAAAUGAAGGACAAUCAUAUGUUCAGUUCAAUAGAUGCAAAAAAAAAAAAAAGCAUUUGACAAAAUUCGACAUCCUUUCAUGAUUAAAAAUUCUCAACAUUAGCUAUAGGAGGAAUGUGCCUGAAAGGCCAUACAUCACAAGCCUAGAGCCAAUAUAAUACUCUAUGGUGGAAAGCUAAAAGCUUUUCCUCUAAGAUGAGGAGCAAGACAAGAAAACCUACUCUUCUCACUUCUAUUCAGCAUGCUACUAGAAGUCCUAGCUAGAGCAAUUAGGCAAGAAAAAGAUAUAAAAGACAAGAAAACCCACUCUUGUCACUUCUAUUCAAAAUACUACUGGAAAUCCUAGCUAGAGCAAUUAGGCAAGAAAAAGAAAAGGCAUUCAAAUUGGAAGAAGUAAAACAGUCUCUGUUUACAGAUGACAUAAUCUUGUAUAUAGAAAACCCUAAAGACUUCACCAAAGAACUGUUACAGCUAAUAAAUGAAUUCAGUAAGCUGCAAGAUACAAAAUCAAAUACAAAAAUAAGUUGUGUUUCUAUACACUAACAAUGAACUGAGAAGGAAAUUAAGAAGAUAAUCCUAUUUACAAUAGCAUAAAGAAAUACUUCAAAUACAUUUAACCAGGGAGGCAAAAGAUUUGUAUACUGAAAACUCUCAAACAUUGAUGAAAGAAACUGAAAUAGACACAGAUAAAUGGAAAGAUAUUCUAUUUUCAUGGAUUGGAAGAAUCGAUAAUGUUAAAAUGUCCAUACUACUCAUAUAAACCUAAAGAUUCAGUGCAAUCACUCUCAAAAUUCCCAUGGCAUUUCUCACAGAUAGAAAAGCUAUCCUAAAAUUUGUAAGUAACCAUAAAAGAUCGCAACUAGCCAAAGCAAUCUUGAGCAAGAACAAAGCUGGAGGCAUCAUGCUACCUAAUUUCAAAAUAUACUAUAAAACUAUAAUAAUCGAAACAGCGUGGUCCAGGCACAAAAACACAUAGGCCAAUUGAACAGAAUAGAGAGCUCAGAAAUAAAUCCACGCACUUACAGUCAAUUGAUCUUUGACAAAGGUGCCAAGAAAACACAGUGGGGGAAUAGACAGUCUCUAAUCAGUAGUGGUAUGGAAACCAUAUAUUCACAUGCAGAAAAAUGAAAUUGUACUCAUGUCACUUCAUAUGCAAAAAUCAAGUCAAAAUGGAUUAAAGCUUAAAUGUAAGACCUGAAACUAUAAAAAUACUGGAAGAAAAAGAAAACAUGAGGGAGAAAUUCUUGGUAUUGGUCUGGGUACUGAUUUUUUUGAUAUGACACAGCACAGGCAACAAAAGCAAAAAUAGUCAAAUAGGGUUAUAUUAAACCAGAAAGCUUCUGGACAUGAAAGGAAGGACAUAGAGUGAAGAGACAACCUAUGGAACAGGAGAAAGUAUUUCCAAACUAUGCCUCAAAUAAAGCAUUAAUAUCUGAAUUAUAUAAGGAACUCAAACAAAUCAGUAGCAGGAAAGUAAAUAAUCCAAUUAAAGAAGUAAAAGGACUUGAACAGACAUUUCUCAAAAGAAGAUGUGCAAAUGGCUAGCAGGUAUAUGAAAAAAUUCUCAACACCACUAAUUAUCAGCAAAAUGCAAAUUAAAACCACAGUGAGGCUCGGCACAGUGGCUCAAGCAUGUAAUUCUAGCAGUCUGGGAGGCUGAGGCAGGUGGAUCACUUGAGGCCAGGAUUUGGAGACCGGCCUGGCAAGCAUGGUGAAACCCUGACUCCACUAAAAAUACAAAAAUUAGCCAUCCAUGGUGGUGCAUGCCUGUAAUCCCACCUACUUGGGAGGCUGAGGCAUGAGAAUUGCUUGAACCCGGGAGGUGGAGGUUGCAAUAGGCCAAGAUCAUGCCACUGCACUCCAGCCUGGGUGACAGAGCGAGACCAUGCCUCAAAAACAACACAAUGAGAUGUCUCCUCACACCCGUUAGAAUGGUUAAUAUAAAAAAGACAAAAGAUAGCAAGUGUUGGUGAGGCUGUGGAGAAAAGGAAACCCUUGUGCAUUGUUGUUGGCAAUGUAAAUUGGUAUAGCCAUUAUGGAAAAUAGUAUGGAGCCUUCUCAAAAAAAAAAAAAAAAAAAAAAAAAAACAGAAAUAGAACUACCAUAUGAUUCAGCAAUUCCACUUCUGGGUAUGUAUCCAAAGGAAAUGAAAUCAGUAUGUUAAGAGGUAUGUGCACUCCCAUGUUCACUGCAGCAUUAUUCACAAUAGCCAAGAUGUGGAAUCAACAUAGUGCCCAUCAAUGGAUGAAUGGAAAAAAUGUGAUACACACACACACACACACACACACACACAAUGGAAUAUUAGCCAGCCUUAAAAAAGGAAAUAUUGGGCCAGGUGCAGUGGCUCACACCUGUAAUCCCAGCACUUUGGGAGGCUGAGGCGAGCAGAUCAUGAGGUCAGGAGUUUGAGACCAGCCUGGGCAACAUGGUGAGACCCUGUGUUAGCUCUACUAGAAAUACAAAAAAUUAGCCGGGCGUGGUGGUACGCAUCUGUAGUCCCAGCUACUCAGGAGGCUGAGGCAGGAGAAUCGCUUGAACCUGGGAGGCGGAGGUUGCAGUGAACUGAGAUCGCGCCACUGCACUCCAGCCUCGGCGACAGAGCAAGACUCCGUCUCAAAAAAAAGGAAAUCUUGUCUUUUGGGACAACAUGGAUGAGCUUGGAGGACAUUUUACUAAGUGAAAUGAGUCAGGCACACAAAGACAAAUACUGUGUGAUCUCGCGUACAUGUGAAAUCUAAAAAGGUAGAACUAGAGGCAGAAAGUAAAAUGGUGUUUGCCAGGAGCUAGGAGGUAGGAGGAAUGGGAAGAUGUUGGUGAAGGGUACAGAGUUUCACUUAUGCAGGAUGAAUAAGUUUUGGAGAUUUAAUGUCCAACAUGGUGACUACAGUUAAUAAGACACUAUUAUAUAUGUGAAAUUUGCUAAGACGGAUCUUAAAUGUUCUCACCACAUACACACACAACAGGUAACUAUGUGAGGUAAUGGAUAUGCUAAUUAACUUGAUUGCAGUAAUCAUUUCACAAUAUACAUGUAUCAAAAUAUCACCUUGUAUACCUUAAAUAUAUUCAUUUUUUAUUUGUCAAUUAUACCUCAAUAAUGCUGGAGAAAACAAUUGACUUAUUUUGUAUAAAAUAUAUACUAGUUAUUAGAAUCAUGGAAAAUGGUGGUUUGAUUUACUAAUUUAAUGAUUCAAUUAUUAAAUUUUUCUCAAGGCUUUUUUUGGGGAAAUUUCUUUAUUCUAAAUUCUGAGCUCCAAUUAGAAACAUCAGAUGUAUGUGUUGAGGGUCUAUUAUGUUAAUGAAUCAAAUAUUUAAGUGUUUAUGUAUCACACUGUGCAAGGCACUGGAGAUAUGAUGGUGAAAAGUACAGAAUUUCCCUGCCCAUAUGGAACUGUGGUAAGGCUAAAAAUAAAUUAAAUGACAGAUUUCUAAAAGAUGUUACGAAUAGAAUGAGGCAGAGAGAGAGAAUACUCAGUGGUUGAGGUAACUACUAUCAGGAAAGGCUUUUUUUUAAAAACAAACAACAACAAAAAAACAAGGUCUUGUGCUGUCACCUGGGCCGGAGUGCAGUAGUGCCUCCACCUCCCAGCCUCAAGAAAUCGUCCCACCUCAGCCUCCUGAAAAACUGGGACUACAGGUGCAAGCCACCAUGCCCAACUAAUUUUUUCAUUUUUGUAGAGAUAGGGUCUUUCUAUGUUGCCCAGGCUGGUCUCAAACUUCUGGACUCAAGUGAUCCUCCCACCUCAUCCUCCUAAAGUGAAGGGAUUACAGGUGUGAGCCACCAUGCCCAGCAGGUAAGGCAUUUCUGAGAAGAACUUUAAGUAUCUGUUCUUUGCUAUAUUCCUAAUACUAGGCACAGUGCCUGGUACAUAGUCAAUACUGAAUGUAUAUUUGAUGAAUUAAAGGAUGGAUUAUACCAGGAAAUGGCUUUGAAGAGAGGCAUUGACCAGAGAUGAAAUACCAUCAGCUUUUCUUUUUUGACUGGUCAUAGAUGUUUGGGUUGGUCUGGCCUAAAGGUAGAAAUACGCAAUGGGAAAGAGAGCAUAGGAAAACUAUUGGAGAUAUAUAUAUAUAUGGCAUAGUAAUAUCCUUUUGAUAUGGGCCAGCUUAUAAAGUCCAAUCCAGGCAGAAAGAUUGAUGCGAAUGUUGACUCUGUCAGUUCAAGUCUACUAUCAUUUAGUUUACUACUAAAGUACCAAACAAGCAGUGCAAGGGAUAUGUACACCAAAUAAGCAUGUAAGUGAAUAGAUGCAGCUCUUUAAUGCUUCCUUGUACUUGACAAAUGCCCAAGUUCGGUAAUUGAGGCAGCCCAUGAGGAAUAAGAUCAAAGGGGUUCAAAACUACAGACCUUGGUAACAUUAGGCUGGGUGAGGGGGCCAUAGUUAAGGAUCUAAUUCACUAAUAUAUAAAAAAUUUGUUGUUGUACUAUAGUAAUGUAUUUACACAGUCUGUUCCUUCUGCACCCUCUGGCCAAUACUAGAGCUGUAGGCCUGCCAAACCUUCCUUGAAGCAAAGUCUAAUUGAAGACCUAAGAGUAAGAUGCAAACUUACGUGGAAUAAUUAAAUGUUAGUUUAUAACUGUAAUAAUAAUGUAAUAAGAAAGGAGGGAA
rnacentral:lncRNA from 10 species